rnacentral:tRNA from 1 species
GCCUGGAUGGCUCAGUCGGUUGAGCGUCCAACUUCAGCUCAGAUCAUGAUCUCACAGUCCAUGAAGUCUGUGGGUUCGAGCCCCAUGUUGGGCU